rnacentral:rRNA from 1 species
GACGAACGCUGGCGGCGUGCUUAACACAUGCAAGUCGAACGGAGAGGCCCUGCUCUUGUAGGGUGCUCGAGUGGCGAACGGGUGAGUAUCACGUGAGUAACCUGCCCUUUACAGUGGGAUAACUUCAGGGAACUGGAGCUCAUACCGGAUAUGAGCUCCUUCUGCAUGGUUUUUGUUGGAAAAUUUCGGCGGUUCGGGAUGGACUCGCGGCUUAUCAGCUUGUUGGUGAGGUAGUGGCUUACCAAGGCUUUGACGGGUAGCCGGCCUGAGAGGGUGACCGGGCCCAAUGGGAUUGAGGUACGGCCCAGAGUGCUACGUGAGGCAGCAGUGGAGAAUAUUGCGCGAUGGGCGGAAGGAGGAUGCAGCGACGUCGCGUGGGGGAUGACGGUUUUCGGGUUGUAAACCGCUUUAGCCUGUGACGAAGAGUGAGUGACGGUAAUGAGUAAAGAAGCAACGGCUAACUACGUG